rnacentral:rRNA from 1 species
GUGGGGAAUAUUGGACAAUGGGCGAAAGCCUGAUCCAGCAAUGCCGCGUGAGUGAUGAAGGCCUUAGGGUUGUAAAGCUCUUUUACCAGGGAUGAUAAUGACAGUACCUGGAGAAUAAGCUCCGGCUAACUCCGUGCCAGCAGCCGCGGUAAUACGGAGGGAGCUAGCGUUGUUCGGAAUUACUGGGCGUAAAGCGCGCGUAGGCGGCUACUCAAGUCAGAGGUGAAAGCCCGGGGCUCAACCCCGGAACUGCCUUUGAAACUAGGUAGCUAGAAUCUUGGAGAGGUCAGUGGAAUUCCGAGUGUAGAGGUGAAAUUCGUAGAUAUUCGGAAGAACACCAGUGGCGAAGGCGACUGACUGGACAAGUAUUGACGCUGAGGUGCGAAAGCGUGGGGAGCAAACAGGAUUAGAAACCCGAGUAGUCC